AUUGUAUGGGUAGGAAAAAACACCGUUGAAAUAGUUGGAUUUGAAAUAUGCCUUUUGCCCCCUAAACUUACCGGUUAAUCCACAAUCCAAACUUUUUUUGGUUUGGGUUUAGUACUAAAAACCGGUAAUUUCAAACUGGGAAAAUCCGUCAUUGAUCUGCUUACCGGUUCAACUGGUCAAAUAUAUAUCGUAAAAAAAAUCGUUGAGCAGCUUCAUUGCCGGAGAUGACGAUAGUCAAAGCAGCUCCCCAAGUCCUGGACAUGGUCAAAACUCUCCAAGCCCUAGGCGUUACGGCCAAGUCACCCCAAAUCCUCGAUUCCAUGGUUAUCAAGCUGGUGGAAGCUCCGGCCGUAAUUAUGAUAGCCCCAAUCAUGGACGUGGUACAGGUCAAAACUCCCCAAACCCUGGGUGUUACGACCAAGUCACCCCCUAUCAAGGAAGUGCUCAAUUUUAUGGUUAUCAAGCGGAUUACGCCGACGGAUAUCAAGGAAAUCUAGCCGGUUAUGAUAGCCCCAAUCAUGAAAACAUCGACGGCUAUCAAUAAAUCUUGCCAGUCCAGCGGUUAUCAAGGAAAUUUUGCCGGCUCCGGCAAUAAGGAAAUCCUCCUGGUUCUGGCGGUUAUCAAGGAAUUGGUAAUGUAAACUCCGGUGGUUAUCAAGUGAACCAAAACAGUUAUGAAAACUCUUGUGGUUACUAUCAAGGAGAUCAAGUGAUUAAUGGAAUCCAGAUGGUUACAGUCCUUAUCAAGGAACUCAAGGUGGUUAUAGUAACCCUAACCAUGGGGUUAUGGAGUAAACGCCAAUCAAAGCGGUGCCUACAAUGAAUGUCUCCAAAUCAAGGAUGAAGAGGACUAGGUGUUGGUGGCGGUGGACGGCGGUACUCGGAGAUCCCCUCUAAUAAUGGUUUUGUGUUUUAAGAAUAUUAUGAGAGGCAGUUGAGUCUUUAUUUAAAGAUUUGAUAUAUAUACAUAUAAAAUUAUGUAUUCUAAGUCAAAACUAAUAUGCAUCGGUAAGAACAAUUGUACAAUCCUUGCACAACUAUUGAUCACAUCAUUCAUAAACUGUUUUACAUAUGCAUAUUAUAACGAUCAUAUUAGUCUUGGUAGCGGCCAUAAAAACUAUGAUGACAAAACUAGAGUUAUAAACAGUUUUUCUUAGU
rnacentral:sRNA from 1 species